UACGUAGGUGGCAAGCGUUGUCCGGAUUUACUGGGUGUAAAGGGCGUGUAGACGGGUAAGCAAGUCAGAUGUGAAAUACCGCAGCUUAACUGCGGGGCUGCAUUUGAAACUGCAUAUCUUGAGUGCGGGAGAGGAAAGCGGAAUUCCUAGUGUAGCGGUGAAAUGCGUAGAUAUUAGGAGGAACACCAGUGGCGAAGGCGGCUUUCUGGACCGUAACUGACGUUGAGGCGCGAAAGCGUGGGUAGCAAAC
rnacentral:rRNA from 1 species